UACGUAGGGGGCAAGCGUUGUCCGGAUUUAUUGGGCGUAAAGCGCGUGUAGGCGGCCAGAUAGGUCCGUUGUGAAAACCCGAGGCUCAACCUCGGGACGCCGACGGAAACCAUUUGGCUAGGGUCCGGAAGAGGAGAGUGGAAUUCCCGGUGUAGCGGUGAAAUGCGCAGAUAUCGGGAAGAACACCCGUGGCGAAGGCGGCUCUCUGGGACGGUACCGACGCUGAGACGCGAAAGCGUGGGGAGCGAACAGG
rnacentral:rRNA from 1 species